GAUUUUUGAAGACAUCCAACUUCCAUUUUUUUUCUUUUUCCUUCUUCAAUUUGCAGAGAACUUCUAAGAGAGAGUUUGGAAUAAGAAGAGAAAUUUUACUAGAAUUUUGAGGUUGAAGAAGAGGAGGAGAACUCAAGCAAAGUGUAUCCAUGGCUGAAUUUUAGUUCAUUCUGCACAUCACAGGUUUUUAAUUCGUUUUGAACUCUUCAAAAGGAAUUAAGAGGGCAGUUGCUUUUCACUCGAAAUCAGAAGGUCUCUGGUUUUUCUUGUAUUUCAGAGUAUCGGUAAAGUUAGAAUCUCUAUUUGGGACAAGUUAAAGAGGUCGUGUGCGCGCGAUUCUGGAAGUGGUUCUGUUUUGAGGGUUAUAUGUGUUUAUGCACGGGGAAUCAGAUUUAUAUGUCUUCAGGUAGAGAUUGAGUUUCCGGUGCCUGAUAGACUGCCUUAGUCUGUGGAAGCUUCAUUAUCGAUUGCCAGUACGUGUUUUGAGUUGGGCAUAGAGUCUGUUGUGUUGUGAUGUAUAUACACCCUUGUAUGUUAUAGAUACUCCACAGUUUGUAUAAGCUUUAGGAGCUGUAGUUGUGUAAAUUUUGUUGGUUAUAUUUUGAUUAAGGUGUCUUUAGGUUUA